rnacentral:misc_RNA from 1 species
GAUGAAGAACGUAGCGAAAUGCGAUACUUGGUGUGAAUUGCAGAAUCCCGUGAACCAUCGAGUCUUUGAACGCAAGUUGCGCCCGAAGCCAUUAGGCCGAGGGCACGCCUGCCUGGGCGUCACACGUCGUUGCCCCCCCAUCUACUCCUUCGGGAUUGCGAGGGGCGGAUGAUGGCCUCCCGUGCGCCUCGUCGCGCGGUUGGCAUAAAUGCCAAGUCCUCGGCGACGCACGCCACGACAAUCGGUGGUUGCGAAACCUCGGUUGCCCGUCGUGUGCGGUCGUCGCGCAUCGAGGGCUCGAAAAAAUUGCCGGGCUCCGGCUCGGCUUUCAACGCGACCCCAGGGCAGGCGGGGUUACCCGCUGAAUUUAAGCAUAUCAAUAAGCGGAGGA